UGGGGAAUAUUGGACAAUGGGGGAAACCCUGAUCCAGCGACGCCGCGUGUGUGAAGAAGGCCUGCGGGUUGUAAAGCACUUUUAGUGGGGACAAAAAGCCAUUGAUUAAUACUUGGUGGUCUUGAUUUAACCCAAAGAAAAAGCACCGGCUAACUCUGUGCCAGCAGCCGCGGUAAUACAGAGGGUGCGAGCGUUAAUCGGAAUUACUGGGCGUAAAGCGCGCGUAGACGGUUUUGUAAGUCAGAUGUGAAAUCCCUGGGCUCAACCUGGGAACUGCAUUUGAAACUGCAUGGCUAGAGUAUCGAAGAGGGAAGUGGAAUUUCCGGUGUAGCGGUGAAAUGCGUAGAUAUCGGAAGGAACACCAGUGGCGAAAGCGACUUCCUGGUCGAAUACUGACGUUCAUGUGCGAAAGCGUGGGGAGCAAACAGGAUUAGAUACCCUGGUAGUCCACGCCAUAAACGAUGACAACUAGAUGUUGGGAGGGUCUGCCUCUCGGUGUCGCAGCUAACGCGUUAAGUUGUCCGCCUGGGGAGUACGGCCGCAAGGUUG
rnacentral:rRNA from 1 species